rnacentral:lncRNA from 1 species
UUUCAACUUCAUAAAUCCUAUGACUGAUCAUAAGGAUUAUCCUGGACAAGAUUUUACUGAAUUGAAACACAAUAUAGCAUUACUCCUUAAACCAAGAGCAGGUCAAUCCCAUUUUGACUCACACACAGACUUCGCAAGACUUCGCAAGUACUUGAUUACAUCCAAAAAUUUUUCAUCACUGUAUUAGAAAUAUAGAUAGUCUGGCAUCAAAGUAUAGUGAGUUGCUUGUAAGACGCUAUGGUGAUCUCAGAUCGGAGGGAUAUUUAUACCUAUAUCCUUCGUGAGCAGCUCUUGACAGCAGAGCUUCCUGCAUUUGAGUCACUAUUCAGUGAAAUAUACUCCUAUAUUUUACUUGCAUCCCAUACCAGUGUCUCCACACUCCUUGGUUACGAGGACAACCAAUCCAUAUGGCAUACAACGAUCUGUACUUGAUAAAUAUUAUCAUUCUAGUAAUAACAUAUCAUUUGAUCCAAGUAAAAUUUAAAAACUAUUUGAUAAAUUCUUCUUUAUUGAUAAUUUAUGGCUCUAAGGACGUCAACAUAAAAAGAGUUCUAAAAAGAAGAUGCAAAAUUAUAAUGAGCUUACCAAAAAAUAAUUUUAUUAAUAUAAUUCAAUCAUAAUUCAUAUACAAGAGUACAACCAUUUACAACUUAAACUAUUGGCUUAGACGGUCAGGUCAUAUGUUAGAUUGGCUCGACUUGAGUUCAUUUGUGCAUUCCGUAGAAACUCUUUUUCAGUAUUUAUAUUUUCUCUGACUAGAGAUUUUCUAAAUUCAGUCUUGUGAAUCACAUAAGACUAUACCUUUUCUACUAAGAUUGAUAGAUUUUAUCUUGGUGCACCUACUUAAACAGUGAACCUAAGCCUACUAUAGCCAAUAUAUAUAGUAAGAACCCAAAUGGCUAGGGACUAAGAGAACAUGUAGUCAAACUAAGUGUCUCAUUGUGAAUAGCCAACACACCAUAGGUUAAAGGACCAGUCACACCAUUACUAUAUUGAGAAAAUCACUGACGAGUGAGUAGACAUCCAAGUGAUUUCUCAUAUUGGUUAUGAUCAGUACAAGUUGUUCUCUAACAACCAUCUGUACUCUCAUCCCAAUAUUCUCAUACUGCAGACUUGAGACCCAUCUAUCCAGAAAGGAGGUGAUCCAUGCAUAGAUCUAAAUGGAUUGAUCAUGAUCCUCCAUGAUGAUCCUUCGAUCGGGAGCAUUCAGA